UACAGAGGUGGCAAGCGUUGUUCGGAAUUACUGGGCGUAAAGGGCGCGUAGGCGGUCUUUUAAGUCUUGUGUGAAAUCCCUCGGCUCAACUGAGGAACUGCACGGGAUACUGGAAGACUUGAGUUCGGGAGAGGGAAGCGGAAUUCCGGGUGUAGCGGUGAAAUGCGUAGAUAUCCGGAGGAACACCGGUGGCGAAGGCGGCUUCCUGGACCGAUUCUGAGCUGAGGCGCGAAAGCGUGGGGAGCAAACGGG
rnacentral:rRNA from 1 species